rnacentral:rRNA from 1 species
AAAGAAUUGACGGGACCGCACAAGCGGUGGAUGAUGUGGAUUAAUUCGAUGCAACGCGAAAACCUUACCUACCCUUGACAUGUCCGGAAUCCCGAAGAGAUUUGGGAGUGCUCGCAAGAGAACCGGAACACAGGUGCUGCAUGGCUGUCGUCAGCUCGUGUCGUGAGAUGUUGGGUUAAGUCCCGCAACGAGCGCAACCCUUGUCAUUAGUUGCCAUCAUUUGGUUGGGCACUCUAAUGAGACUGCCGGUGACAAACCGGAGGAAGGUGGGGAUGACGUCAAGUCCUCAUGGCCCUUAUGGGUAGGGCUUCACACGUCAUACAAUGGUCGGUACAGAGGGUUGCCAACCCGCGAGGGGGAGCUAAUCCCACAAAGCCGAUCGUAGUCCGGAUCGCAGUCUGCAACUCGACUGCGUGAAGUCGGAAUCGCUAGUAAUCGUGGAUCAGCAUGUCACGGUGAAUACGUUCCCGGGUCUU